AACUUCAUUGUAUGCAGACUUGUGGUGUUGGUUCAGUUUAGUCAAAUUAAUAUAUAUACUGCUAUGCUACUACUACUACUACUACUGCUUUCUACAUUUAAUCCUGAUUAGUAGCUUCAUCAAUAAGUGGCAAACAAAACAAUGUUGAUUUUCAUCUUAUCUCUGUGACAACCAAUGGAGUUGAAUUGCAGCAUCCAUGUCAAAGCUGGGUUCAAUUCUUGGGCAAUAUAUGGUAGUUUCCACUCUUCACGCCCAAGAUUAGUAUGCUACAGCUCUCCCUCCUCACUCCAUACAUCCAGGUACUAGUUACCCAACGAGCAGCCAUGCACCUCGCUGGAUCUCGCCCAAACCCCGCUCAUCUUGCUGCUUGUGGCAGGGAAUACUUUCUGUUGAGUAUUUUGAGGAAUGAAUAUCUGUUAAGUAUGGAGUUAGGAUUAUCUAAUAAAAUUUCUGCUAUAUAUAUAACUGAGAUUGCUAGCAUCAUUUACACAAGAUACACCCUUUGAAUUGAAUUGAUUGGUUCAGUUUCGUAUAUUCUUCACCUAGCCUUCUAUCAUGCUUGUAACUAGUGCUCUGCUCAUGUUGUUAGACAGGAUUUUCAUUUCCUGCCAUCCCAGUCUUCUAUCAUGCUUACAAGAUUUUUCUUUACACGGCAGUAGCACCAGCACCUUGCUGCUGUUGGGAACGGAAGGGAG
rnacentral:lncRNA from 1 species